rnacentral:tRNA from 1 species
CCCUGGUUAGCUCAGUUGGUAGAGCGGUCCACCUGUAAUGGAGAUAGCUCCCCGGUUCGAUACCCGGACCAGGCG